CACCCGCCCACACGGUUUGCCGUGUUUUCACCCUUCUUUGUUCUCCACCGGUCUGGGCAGGGUCUGAGGACUCCGGAGAGCAAGGCAUGGGUCCGCCUCGUGCCGCAGGUUCCUGGCCCACGCCAGCCGUACCCAGUAGCACAAUGGGAUUUGAGGACACACGCCAGCUGCCUACACCUGAAGAAAGGGUGAGCUCUGAGGACUUCACAGGGGCCCCAUCCCCUCACCUAGAUGAGGGCUAACCUUGGAAUCCAGACAAAGGUGGAAGUGACCUAGAUGUGACCUGAAUGAGCUAAUCAUCUAAUGAGAGCCAGCCCUUUGUCCUGCCCACAUGAAGGGCUUUGCUGCUACGCACUGACAAGUUGGACGGCUUUUUAUUGCUUUGUUGCCAGUUAUCUGAACAUGAGAGGCUGUAAGGUGUAAUCUGCGAGCCCUGCGCCCAGACUGAACCAGGGCCUCCCUUGAACAUGAGUAUUAGACAAAUGAAAUAAGAACUUAUCUUGCCCAGACUAUAUAAUGGCUUGGAAAUGCAUAGUUUCCUGAACGAUCUCAAUAAAAUACUUUUAAAAGUACUUAAAUAGACUUUUUCUGUGUCACUUUGUGGGGAGGUGUGAGAAGAUAUAGGAGCUAGUCAUUUCAUGUGUCUGGUUCCUGGUCCCUUAACAGCAUCUGUUCUGGAAGUACAGAUGAAAAUUCUAUACAGACCUGUAAGGCUGACCAUAGUUUUAGCAGAUUAGCAU
rnacentral:lncRNA from 1 species